rnacentral:lncRNA from 1 species
CAUCCUCAUAAUUUAACUCCUCUUCAACAAUUGGAUUUCUUAAGACAAGUUCAUGAUUUUUUCCAAUUAAAAUUACUUUUAGUCUUCUGAGGACUUCCACUGGGGAUGGAUGAGUAUUGAUUCCUGUGAUGGCACGAAUCCGUGAGAAUACAUUCUCCAGACAAUCUUGAUUUAGAUGAGUGGUUAAAAUGAAUUUCAUUCCAUUAUCCUUGAUACUUUGAAAUAAUGAUUUUGUUGAACGAAUGGAGAUUAAAAUUCCCUUUUGAAAUGGAAGCUAAAAUUUUCCCAGUCAUUUUCAUGGACAAAACUAAUAGCUCUAUUUCGUUCAAAGCAUGCAUUUGUUCUUCCAAAUGUAUACCAAACGCAGAAUAAAGUUUUUUUUUUUUUUUUUUUGUAUGAUCUACUAGUAUUCAUACAGUUAAACCAAUCAUUAACUAUUUGAAUUAUUAUAGACUGAGAUUCUUUCUUGUGCAUAAAUUUGGUGCUUUUUAUCUACAGGAUUUUCAAAUGAAAAGUUGUCCGGAGAGAGCUGUAACUGGGAGAUUAAUGAUUUGCUUAUUUCGAUCUCAGCCUGGAGAUUCCCCUCAAAAUCAUUGGAUACUGAGAUCCAAAGACGCUGGAGCAUCAAAUUUUUCUAAGAAAAUGCAAAAUACUGGGCAUUCCGCAGAUUGGGACAGAAGUGUAUGGCACAAACACGCUUUGAACCUCAAGAUUAUGCCAUAACAGAUCCAAAUUAUUAUACUCCACUUCAAUGAAAUUAUCUGAACUGCCGCAACAGUGACGUCACUGCGUUAGCUGAUUCAGCUAACGCCAACCAGACUGCCUUAGAAGGUCCUUGUGGCCUCACCUUUAAAUAUAGUCACCUUGUGCAACCUAAACCAUUAAACAAAGUAGCGCAUCGAAGGCUAACGUCAUUAUUAGCGAUAAAAAAUAUCUUGGUCAAAAUUUACUUUUUUUAUCCGCUAGAGCAACACCUGUAAUCAUUGGAUACCUUCAAAAUUAAUGAGAUAAGGACGACCCAAAAAUUAAUCAUAUAAAGGACCAACUAACACUGCAGUCAUGGACCACUGUCGAGUGUCAGUAGUUUCGUCCAAUGCAAGAAAUAUAUCCUUCCCCUCAAGUUUUUUUAAAAUCUUGGUCAACACUACUAUACUUUGAGACUCCAUUGACUGUGUGAUGGAGAAGCGUGAGGGAAUUACUUCUUUUGUGUAAAUUUUUUAUAAAUUUGACAAAAUUUGGAUGAUUAACGAUAUGGAGUGGAAUAUUGCAAGAGACAAGCAUUUUGGUUAUAUCUUCUGUAAAAUUGGAAUGUUCAUAAUUGGAAUUAAUUAUAUGACUUGUAUACCGUUUCAAAUUCCUUUCGUGAAUUGGGGUUUUACUGUGUUGUUCUACUUUGAACAUCAUUUGGACUAUAGUUACAAGAUGGCAUGCCAAAAAUCUAUAAUCUCGCCGUAACUCCAUAUAUCUUUACAUAAAUUAUAAGCGAUCAAAUAAUAUUUAUCAAUUAAUUUACCCUUUAAAAGCUAUUAUAUAAAUAUUAAAUAAUUUUGAACUAAAAUACUGAUAAGUAAUUUUUAUUUUAAACAAAUGAUACUUUCUUCAAUGGAAAAAUAACUAAUAUUGGACUUGGAAGUAUAAUGAAAAGUGCCUUUGAAUAUAUACAAUUGAAGUUUGUUUUGUUUUUUAAAUAUAUAAAUUAGUGGCAUUGUAUGAUAACAAUUUUUUUUUAUUUUAACAUGCGUAAAUUAAGAUUACAAACUAUGAAAUUAACA